GAGUUUGAUCGUGGCUCAGGAUGAACGCUGGCGGCAUGCCUAACACAUGCAAGUCGAACGGGGUUUAUAUAACAGAACUCUUCGGAGGGAAGAUAUAUAAACCUAGUGGCGGACGGGUGAGUAACGCGUGGGCAACCUGCCCUGUACCGGGGACAACAGCCAGAAAUGGCUGCUAAUACCGCAUAAGCCUGCGGUGCCGCAUGGCACAGCAGGGAAAACCACGGUGGUACAGGAUGGGCCCGCGUCUGAUUAGUUAGUUGGCAGGGUAACGGCCUACCAAGACGAUGAUCAGUAGCCGGCUUGAGAGAGUGGACGGCCACAUUGGGACUGAGACACGGCCCAGACUCCUGCGGGAGGCAGCAGUGGGGAAUAUUGCACAAUGGGGGGAACCCUGAUGCAGCAAUGCCGCGUGGGUGAAGAAGCACUCCGGUGCGUAAAGCCCUGUCAGCAGGGAAGAAAAUGACAGUACCUGACCAAGAAGCCCCGGCUAACUACGUGCCAGCAGCCG
rnacentral:rRNA from 1 species